rnacentral:lncRNA from 1 species
UUGCAGGUUUCAAAUGUGCUAUCUGUGAGAAAGUCAAGAGGGUGCCACUCCCAGCCAUGGAUAAUCCUAUUCCCUGACUUCAGCUUCUUGCUAUGUACACCAUCUGUAAAGGUUACCUAUCCUUAGACAUAUUAGGCAUUUUAGCCAUUGACAGAUGUAUUUUCAAACCAAGGCAUGCUCUGUCAGAAGACUACAAAAACAUUACUGCUUCAGGGUAAUAGUCCUUCCUUUUAUAUACAUGCACAAAUACAUGCGUGUGUGUGUGUGUGCACAUAUGCAUUUGAAGAUAAGUAUUUACCUGCUCCUGUUGUACGUCCUCGACUCCAAUCACUAUAUACUGAACCUCCUUCAUGCGAGGCUAUCACCCGAUACAGGAAACCAUAUCAGUAACCAUAUGAUAUUUAAAAUCUUGAGAUCAAUUGUGUCAAGUAAAACAAAUUAAAUCAUGCCAGAUAAAAAUUAUGAAUUUUUCCAUAAAAGCAUCAUCUUCAGGAAGGACCUCAGGGAUCCUUCCUGAGGAUGGUAUAACUUCGCGGCAGCCCUCCCAGAAAGACUCCUGUGUUAUCUCCAAUAACAGUACUACCAUUCAGGAUGGCAGAGGAACCUAGAGAAGAGGAGAUGAGAAAUAGACCUUCACCAGGAUACUCUAGUUUUACUAGCUCAGCAAAUAAUAAAA